UACGUAGGGUGCAAGCGUUGUCCGGAAUUAUUGGGCGUAAAGAGCUCGUAGGCGGUGUGUCACGUCGGCCGUGAAAACCUGGGGCUUAACUCUGGGCGUGCGGUCGAUACGGGCAUCACUAGAGUUCGGCAGGGGAGACUGGAAUUCCUGGUGUAGCGGUGAAAUGCGUAGAUAUCUGGAGGAACACCGGUGGCGAAGGCGGCGUCCUGGACCAACACUGACACUGAUGAGCGAAAGCCAGGGGAGCAAACGGG
rnacentral:rRNA from 1 species